rfam:Pan troglodytes isolate Yerkes chimp pedigree #C0471 (Clint) chromosome 8, whole genome shotgun sequence.
UUUUUAGCAUAAGUAUGUCCCACAUAAUAUCUGGGAAAUACUUAUGCUAAAC